AAAAGUGAGGGUGAUCUGGCUGCGACAUCUGUUACCCCAUUGAUCACCAGGGCUGAUUUGGCUGAUCUGACUGGCUAGGUGGGUGUCCCCUCCCUCAUUGCUCCAUGUGCAUCCCUCCUGAAGAUGCACGCUUGGUGAAAGAGGAUGACCAUCCCAGGUAGGAGUGUAUCGUUCUUCAGUAUACAAUAGGAACUUGAAAGCAAGACUUACAUAAAUGAAUCAGAGUUGUGAAUUGAGUACAAAUCAUUGGAU
rnacentral:sRNA from 1 species